rnacentral:lncRNA from 1 species
AAGUUUUGAUAACAUUGUUAUUUUUUUGUGACAAUUGUGUGUGUGUGUGUGUAUGCUAGGACUGCUAUACUCCUAUGAGUAUAUACUUUUUUACACUCAUAAAUUUUCGACUGUUGAAUAAAGGAAUGUGCGGUUAGAAUGAUAGUGAUUCCCGAUUAGAAUGAUAAUGAUUCUCUAGGGUUUAAUAGCUAAUUGAUUAAAUAGUAUGAUCUAACGGAUGGAAAUGUUCAACAGGAUAGAUUUAACCGUCGAAAAUUUAUGAGUACGAAGAUGUAUAUAUAUAUAUAUAUAGAGAGAGUUUGGAUGGUAUAGUGGUAUGCUUAUGGAAGCACGGAGGCCUCCGUGCUUCAAAGUUGUUUUUGAUGUUCGGACUUUUGAAUCGACGAUCGGCUCCAUUAGAGUUGAUCUAGAGUAUUUGAAGUACCUAGAAAAUAAAUUUUGCGAUUUUUCGAUAUCAUUUGCCUAGUGAUCGAAGGGGCUCAAAAUCAAUAAUUUUAAUGGCCGUGGUGAGCCGGUUGCAAGUUUAACGGUGUAGAAAUAUCCAAAUCACGUGAAAUUUUGAUAGAAAAUUCUUUAUACUAUAUAAAAUAAGAUCAAUAUCUUUGAUCUAAAUUUUUAAUGUCAUAUCAUCACAUUUUGUGAGAUUUUUAUUUUCAGCCGUUGAUUUUGAGCCCCUUCGAUCACUAGGCAAAUGAUAUCGAAAAAUCGCAAAAUUUAUUUUNNNNNGUGGUAGGUGGUGGUAGAUGGAAUAGUGUUUGAUCUAAAGGCUAUUAGUAAUCAAGAAGUGAAUCCAAUGGCUAAAAACUUAGAAGCACCAAGGGAUUGGUGCUUCUAAAAGUGUUCUAGCUCAAUUAUAUAUAUAUAUAUAUAUAUAUAUAUAUAUAUAUAUAUAUAUAUAUAUAUAUAGUACGUCUCCCGUACUUUUGAAAGUACGGAGACCUCCGUACUUGUAAGUUGUUUUCGAUGAUAGGACAUUCAAUUCGACGAUCCGCUCCGUUAGGCAUAAUCUAUACUAUUGAAAUGAGUUGAGCUAUGAUACUUUUACAAGUAUCACCAUCAUGGUGCUAUUAGGUUUUAAGCCAUUGGAUCUACUUUUUGAUUAUUAAUAGCCAUUGGAUUAAACACUAUUCCACCUACCACCAUCAUCUCAACCUCACAUCUCUCCAUUCAAGGGCUAAAAACACACAAGUAUCACCCCCAUGGUACUUUUACAAGUAUUCUAGCCCUACUCCUAUUGGAACUAUCUAGAAACCAAAUUUUAUAAUUUUUUGAUAUUAUUUACCAAACGAUCACAUGGUCUCAAAAAUGACUAUUUUAACGGCCGAUGUGGCACGUUUUUAAGUUCAACGGUGUAGAAGUAUCCAAAUUAAACUUUAAUAGAAAAUUCUACUUAACAUCAAGAGGAAGAACAAUACUUCCGAUUUAAAAUUUGAGUCAUUUAUCACUAUUUUUUAUGAGAUUUUUAUUUUCAGCCGUUCAUUUUGAGACUACUUGUUCACUAGGCAAACGAAGUAAAAAAAUUAUGAAAUUUGGUUUCUAGAUAGUUCUAAUAGUGUAGAUUAUGUUUAAUGGAACCGAUCGCCGAAUCGGACGUCCCAUCAUUGGAAACAACUUACAAGCACGGAGGCCUCCGUACUUUCAAACGCAUAGGAGCCUAGCUCUUUAUAUAUAUACACACACACAUGUACCGUUCAUGUAUUAUUAUCAAAUAAUCAAAUAAUGGUACUUAAUUUCCGAAUUUUUGACUAAACUACCUUGCUUCUUAAAAUUUU